GAUGAACGCUGGCGGCGUGCCUAAUACAUGCAAGUCGAGCGAACAGAUAAGGAGCUUGCUCCUUUGACGUUAGCGGCGGACGGGUGAGUAACACGUGGGUAACCUACCUAUAAGACUGGGAUAACUUCGGGAAACCGGAGCUAAUACCGGAUAACAUUUGGAACCGCAUGGUUCUAAAGUGAAAGAUGGUUUUGCUAUCACUUAUAGAUGGACCCGCGCCGUAUUAGCUAGUUGGUAAGGUAACGGCUUACCAAGGCGACGAUACGUAGCCGACCUGAGAGGGUGAUCGGCCACACUGGAACUGAGACACGGUCCAGACUCCUGCGGGAGGCAGCAGUAGGGAAUCUUCCGCAAUGGGCGAAAGCCUGACGGAGCAACGCCGCGUGAGUGAUGAAGGGUUUCGGCUCGUAAAACUCUGUUAUUAGGGAAGAACAAACGUGUAAGUAACUGUGCACGUCUUGACGGUACCUAAUCAGAAAGCCACGGCUAACUACGUG
rnacentral:rRNA from 1 species